CUCAGUCUUGAGAAGCCUAGGAGAGAGGGCUGGUCAAGACUUUCUCCUUUUCCUCUCCUGGUGAUAGGACAUCUUUCCCCCUACCAAUUCCCAAAUGAAGAGACAGCUGAAGAAGACAUUGAGCCUCUGUCAAACUUAUCUCACAGCUCCUGGUGCCUGGGUCUGAACUGUGCCAGUUGGGCCAAGACCAGGCUAAUCAAAUCAAGAACUUAAAGUACCUCUACUUGGCACUAAGUAAGAGAGUUUGAAGCCACUUGCCUUCCUUUCCUGGCUUCUGGAGAGAUUGGUUCCAGAGAGACCUUCCUUUCCCAGAGGAGGCUGUGUUGGUGGAACCCUGGCUGAAGACAGCAAGACCAUUGGGACUCCUGGUUUAAGAGACUACCAUGACUCCACAUGGAGACCGAGACUUCAGAGCCCUUCCCAGAGAAAAUUUUCAGCUCUCCAAUAUCCUUACUGGAACAUAGUGACUUGAACUAAACAGUACUCCAGAUGUGAUUCCACCAGGACAGAGAAAGGCAGGACUAUCAUCUCCUAAGGAGUAGCCACUGUGCUUCUUUUAAAGUAACCUAAGAUCACAUUAUCUUUGUGAAAUUCAGCACUGUCAACUGCCAUUAAACUUGUAGUCCACUA
rnacentral:lncRNA from 1 species